GUGCUCCAUUCCCAGCACAUAAACUAAAAUUGGAAUGAUACAGAAAGAUUAGCAUGGCCUUUGUGUAAGGACAUGCAAAAAAAAAAAAAAAAUGUAGCAGUU
ensembl:snRNA U6 U6 spliceosomal RNA